rnacentral:lncRNA from 1 species
AAAGAGGGAAAGAUAGCUUUUGAGUGAUGAAAAUAGAGAUAGACUGAUAGCAAAAAGAAAAAGACCUUUGGGUCCACUUGAGCUGAGACUACAAAGACAACUGCAGCUACUACAAGAGGAAGAAGAAAUAGUCUAAGCAUCUGUUGACACUGACCAGCUAAAUAUAUCCUAAUGGAGAUCCUCAUUUCAGUCUUCUAUGUGGGGAGGGUGGCGUGAGGAAGGCCGUGG